GGAUAGCUCAGUUGGUUAGAGUGUGGUGCUGAAAUGCCAGUGUUGCAGGUUCAGUCCCUUCAUGGAACA